rnacentral:tRNA from 1 species
GCGGAAGUAGCUCAGUUGGUAGAGCACGACCUUGCCUAGGUCGGGGUCGCGAGUUCGAGUCUCGUUUUCCGCUCCA